rnacentral:rRNA from 1 species
GACGAACGCUGGCGGCGUGCCUAAAACAUGCAAGUCGAACGGUUCCAGCAAUGGGACAGUGGCGAACGGCGGAGUAAUACAUGAGCAACGUGCCCCAAAGACCGGGAUAGUCGUGGGAAACCGCGGGUAAUACCGGAUGUGGCCUUCUUGAGGCAUCUCAGGAAGAUCAAAUGGUUUUUCGCUUUGGGAGCGGCUCAUGGCCUAUCAGGUAGUUGGUGAGGUAAAGGCUCACCAAGCCGACGACGGGUAGCGGGUCUGAGAGGAUGACCCGCUCGAGUGGGACUGAGACACGGCCCACACACCUACGGGUGGCAGCAGUUGGGAAUCUUGCACAAUGGGGGAAACCCUGAUGCAGCGACGCCGCGUGGAGGAUGAAGGAUCUAGGUCUGUAAACUCCUUUUGUCGGGAAAGACUUAGGACGGUACCCGACGAAUAAGCACCGGCUAACUACGUGCCAGCAGCCGCGGUAAGACGUAGGGUGCAAGCGUUGUCCGGAUUUACUGGGCGUAAAGGACGCGUAGGCGGUCCGUUAAGUGUGAAGUGAAAUCUCCAGGGCUCAACCCGGAAACUGCUUUACAUACUGGCGGACUUGAGGAAUGCAGAGGUGAGUGGAAUUCCUGGUGUAGCGGUGAAAUGCAUUGAUAUCAGGAGGAACACCCGUGGCGAAGGCGGCUCACUGGGCAUUAUCUGACGCUGAGGCGUGAAAGCGUGGGUAGCAAACAGGAUUAGAUACCCUGGUAGUCCACGCCCUAAACGAUGGAUACUAGGCGUAAGAGGUAUCGACCCCUCUUGUGCCGCAGCUAACGCAUUAAGUAUCCCGCCUGGGGACUACGGCCGCAAGGUUGAAACUCAAAUGAAUUGACGGGGACCCGCACAAGCGGUGGAGCAUGUGGAUUAAUUCGAUAAUAACCGAAGAACCUUACCCAGACUUGACAUCGAUCGCAAGCUCUAGAAAUAGGGCCCUCUUCUCAAAAGGAAGACGUGAAGACACUUGUUGCAUGGCUGUCGUCAGCUCGUGCCGUGAGGUGUACGGUUAAGUCCGCCAACGAGCGCAACCCUCGUCCUAUGUUGCCAGCACGAAAGGUGGGAACUCAUAGGAGACCGCCGGCGUCAAGCCGGAGGAAGGUGAGGAUGACGUCAAGUCAGCAUGGCAGUUACGUCUGGGGCUUCACACAUGCUACAAUGGACGAAACAAAGGGCAGCAAUACCGCGAGGUGGAGCCAAUCCCAAAAAUACGUCCCCAGUUCAGAUUGCAGUCUGCAACUCGACUGCAUGAAGGCGGAAUCGCUAGUAAACGCAGGUCAGCUAUACUGCGUUGAAUACGUUCCCGGGUCUUGUACACACCGCCCGUCAAGUCACCCGAAUUGUCUUCACCCGAAGCCCGUGGCUCAACCGUAAGGAGAGAGCGGUCGAAGGUGAGGGGGGUAAGGGGGACU